ensembl:lncRNA novel transcript
GUCAGAGGCGGGGACGCGCGCUGGUCUAUUUUUGGGCAUCCGGAUGGCGACUGCGGGAAAUCGAGUUCUCAUGCUGGGGCGAAAGGACCGUCCGCCCGCUCGGAAGAGGCGAAUCUCCCACGGCAGACGUCUGGGUGUGCGAAUGCCAGUUGAGCGGGGCCUCGAGGACGCGUCACACACAGCGAGGAUUUGAGGAGGGAAGCGCCUUCCAGAGCUUCAGAGAAGAGGCAGAAGUGUGCAAACAGGAGCAGGUCCAAGAUUUGCAUGGCCAGAAGCAAUUCUUGAUCCUCUUGGCUAGAUUCGAAGAUUUGGCCACCUCCAGACGCUACCACACUCUGGGACAGUGGGAGAUUUGGAACAGCUUUGAGAAGAGCAAGGAAAAGAAAAUUUGGACAUAGACUCAUACAGAGGAAAGAUGAUGUGAGGACAGACAUCUAAGCCACGGAGCAAGGCCCUUCCCUCACAGCUCUCAGAAGGAACCAAACCUGUUGACAUCUGUUUUUUUUUUUUUGAGAUGGAGUCUAGCUCUGUCGCCCAGGCUGGAGUGCAGUAGCACGAUCUCAGCUCACUGCAGCCUCCGCCUCCCAGGUUCAAGCAAUUCUCCUGCCUCAGCCUCCCGAGUAGCUGGGAUUACAGGCACCCGCCACCACGCCCGGCUAAUUUUUAUAUUUUUAGUAGAGACAGGGUUUCACCACGUUGGCCAGGCUGGUCUCGAACUCCUGACUUCAAGUGAUCUGCUCUCCUUGGCCUCCCAAAGUGCUGGGAUCACAGGCGUGAGCCACUGCACCCGGCCCCUGUUGACAUCUUGAUCUCAGACUUCACCCGGCCCCCGAUGACAUCUUGAUCUCAGACUUCUGGUCUCCAGAAUGGUGGGAAAAUAAAUUGCUGUUUAAUCUA